UAGGGAAUCUUCCACAAUGGACGCAAGUCUGAUGGAGCAACGCCGCGUGAGUGAAGAAGGUUUUCGGAUCGUAAAGCUCUGUUGUUGGUGAAGAAGGAUAGAGGCAGUAACUGGUCUUUAUUUGACGGUAAUUAACCAGAAAGUCACGGCUAACUACGUGCCAGCAGCCGCGGUAAUACGUAGGUGGCAAGCGUUGUCCGGAUUUAUUGGGCGUAAAGCGAGCGCAGGCGGAAUGAUAAGUCUGAUGUGAAAGCCCACGGCUCAACCGUGGAACUGCAUCGGAAACUGGCAUUCUUGAGUGCAGAAGAGGAGAGUGGAAUUCCAUGUGUAGCGGUGGAAUGCGUAGAUAUAUGGAAGAACACCAGUGGCGAAGGCGGCUCUCUGGUCUGCAACUGACGCUGAGGCUCGAAAGCAUGGGUAGCGAACAGG
rnacentral:rRNA from 1 species